UCACUACGGAACAACUCCGGGAAACUGGAGCUAAUACCGUAUACGUCCUUCGGGAGAAAGAUUUAUCGGUGAUGGAUGAGCCCGCGUUGGAUUAGCUAGUUGGUGGGGUAAUGGCCUACCAAGGCGACGAUCCAUAGCUGGUCUGAGAGGAUGAUCAGCCACACUGGGACUGAGACACGGCCCAGACUCCUACGGGAGGCAGCAGUGGGGAAUAUUGGACAAUGGGCGAAAGCCUGAUCCAGCCAUGCCGCGUGAGUGAUGAAGGCCCUAGGGUUGUAAAGCUCUUUCGCAGGUGAAGAUAAUGACGGUAACCUGAGAAGAAGCCCCGGCUAACUUCGUGCCAGCAGCCGCGGUAAUACGAAGGGGGCUAGCGUUGUUCGGAAUUACUGGGCGUAAAGCGCACGUAGGCGGACUAUUAAGUCAGGGGUGAAAUCCCGGGGCUCAACCCCGGAACUGCCUUUGAUACUGGUAGUCUCGAGUCCG
rnacentral:rRNA from 1 species